GGGGCGUUAGCUCAGCUGGGAGAGCGUCGGCUUUGCAAGCCGAAGGUCGCCGGUUCGAUCCCGGCACGCUCCAUCA
rnacentral:tRNA from 1 species